CGGAGGCCCGGCAAGUCUGCCAUGUCGGCGACUGAAUACACACGCAGUCGUUAGCUAUGCAGAGUUUCGACCAGGUGUGUGCUCGCCAUUCCUCUCCUGCCUGUAUACCGACUGCAUGUAAGGCAUAAGUUGACAGUGAUGCAGGAAGACUGUGCCUUUAGUAGCC